AAUAUUUCACAAUGGGGGAAACCCUGAUGCAGCGACGCCGCGUGAGCGAAGAAGGCCUNCGGGUCNUNAAGCUCUGUCCUAAGGGNCGAAACGGACGGUACCUUACGCGUAAGCCCCGGCUAGCUACGUUCCAGCAGCCGCGGUAAUACGUAGGGGGCGAGCGUUAUCCGGAAUUAUUGGGCGUAAAGGGUGCGUAGGCGGCCUUUUAAGUCAGAUGUGAAAGGCUGCGGCUUAAAAGUAGUUAGCAUUUGAAACUAAAAGGCUUGAGUGCAGGAGAGGAGAGUGGAAUUCCUAGUGUAGCGGUGAAAUGCGUAGAUAUUAGGAGGAACACCAGUGGCGAAGGCGACUCUCUGGACUGCAACUGACGCUGAGACACGAAAGCGUGGGGAGCGAAC
rnacentral:rRNA from 1 species